rnacentral:rRNA from 1 species
UACGUAGGGGGCGAGCGUUGUCCGGAUUUAUUGGGCGUAAAGAGCUCGUAGGCGGCUGUUCGAGUCGGGUGUGAAAUCCUGAGGCUUAACCGGGGAACUGCGUCUGAUACUGGAUGGCUUGAGUUUGGGAGAGGGACGCGGAAUUCCAGGUGUAGCGGUGAAAUGCGCAGAUAUCAGGAAGAACACCAAUGGCGAAAGCAGCUCUCUGGGACGGUACUGACGCUGAGACGCGAAAGCGUGGGGAGCGAACAGG